CCUACGGGAGACAGCAGUGGGGAAUAUUGCACAAUGGGGGAAACCCUGAUGCAGCGACGCCGCGUGAGUGAAGAAGUCUUUCGGUAAGUAAAGCUCUAUCAGCAGGGGAGAAAAUGACGGUACCUGACUAAGAAGCCCAGGCUAACUACGUGCCAGCAGCCGCGGUAAUACGUAGGGGGCAAGCGUUAUCCGGAUUUACGGGGGUGAAUGGGAGCGUAGACGGCAGCGCAAGUCUGAAGUGAAAUCCCAUGGCUUAACCAUGGAACUGCUUUUGAAAAUGUGCAGCUGGAGUGCAGGAGAGGUACGCGGAAUUCCUGGUGUAGCGGUGAAAUGCGUAGAUAUUAGGAGGAACACCAGUGGCGAAGGCGGCUUACUGGACUGUAACUGACGUUGAGGCUCGAAAGCGUGGGGAGCAAACAGGAUUAGAUACCCGGGUAGUC
rnacentral:rRNA from 1 species